GUCAAGGAUAUGGGGAGGCAGAUACAGGAUAUGAGGGGCAGGGUUAUGGGGAGACAGAUACCGGGAUAUGGCAUGUCAGGGAUAUGAGGUGACAGAUACAGGGAUAUGAGGGGCAGGAAUACGGGGAGACAGAUACCGGGGUAUGGGGUGUCAGGUAUAUGAGGUGACAGAUACUGAGAUAUGAGGGGCAGGGACAUGGGGAGACAGAUACCGCGAUAUGGGAGGCAUGUAUAGGUGGAGACUGACAAGACACAGGGUUAUGGGGGUGUCAGGGAUAUUGGGGCAGAGAUAUGGGUCACCGGAAUAUGGAGGUGUCAGGGAUAUGAGAGGCAUCUCCUGGGGGCUCUGGGGUUGGGUUUGAAGCCAUGUCUGUUAAGUUAUCUCUUCCGCUUUUCACUUUUCGUGUUGGAUAGUCACUGUUGGUGCCCAGUGCAGGGUGGAAGGGAGGGCAGGGCUGAGUCAGGUUUGCAAGGAGCAGCCAGAAAGAAUCAUUUUGCUAUUGAGAUGUGAGGGUAGAUGAAUACCCCCUCUUACUGUUCACACUGCGGGCAGUGCACUUGGGGUGACCAUUGGCCCUGUGACGUGUGAAGGGAUGGAAUUGUUCAGGCCAGAAUGUUCUGUGGUGGUUACGAUUCCCUGGGUGGGAAUUGGGCAAAGGGGCCCUCGGAUGUGAUGGGGGAGGUGACAGCUGGUGAGUUAUCUGGGAAAUGGGCUGAAGGACCAUAGGGCAUGGUAAGGCGCUGACACGGAUGAGGCAGUUGGGAAAUGGGCCUUAAGAGGAAGGGAAGAGGAGAGGCAUAUGGGCACUGGGCCAUAAGAAGAGGAGAGAUUCUUAAGAAAGUGCAGUGACAACAGCAGAGCCCCCUUGACGAGCGGUGAAAAAAGUGAGAUAAAUUGGACAGGGUGUAAGCUUAAGUAUGUGAGAGGAGCAGAAUCAGGGACAUGAACAUGAGGUGAAAAGAAAGGGAGAGAAGAAACCAACCAAUCCAAAGAGAAUAUGAGAGCACUGGAAGCAAACAGGCUGUGAAAUUCCCUGGGAAGAAAACAGAGCCAUGAUCUUUGCAGCUUUCCUAUGAGAUUCCUUCCAUGGUAACAACAAUAGAGCCAUAGAAGCAGGAGAUAACACCCAACUGACACUACUGAUGUUGGCUAUCAUUCAUGCCAGGGCAGUGGCUGUGCAGACCCGAAGCAUUUGCUGCUUUUUCCAGUGGAAAAAUGUCUCAUGACAGCUGAAGUAACAUGAAGAACCCAAAAGAAACUGCACCAUAAAGGGAUUAUAUCUUGAAGUUCCUUGACAGUGCCCAAUCAAUGACGAAGCAACAAACAGAAAAGCUAUUUUGAGAUCUUCGCUUCUUGGUCUGGGGUUGUCACAUAAAGCGAGACAAAUAUGGAAUAACAUAGCCCAAAAAGGCUACUGAAGUGAAGAGCAUCGUUGAUCUGGAAGGACAACUGUCUGAAUUCCUAAACAAAGAGAGAGGGAUCUGCAGGAAAUGGCAAAUGGAGCAGAGAACAGCUCAGUGCAAGCAACCCAGCAGCCUAUGAGGUUUCAGAACACAUUUAAUUCUAGGGACUCAAGACUCCAGAGGGGGAAGAAAUCUGGAUGCAAGUUUUCUCUUCCAGUCCCACAUCUGAGUUGCCAACUCAGCCUCCACCCAAAAUGCAAGGCCCUGAGUAAGAUACUUGCAUUGCUUGUAUCUAAGGCACAUUUUGGGUGAUGUAAGUGAUCAGUCGCAAACAAAUCAGAAAACCUCUUAUGAAGGAUAGUAACACAAAUCUACAUGAAUUAAUGGUCUGCCCAGAGAUCUGGGCACCCUGAUGCCAAUUGGAGAAACAAAAACAAUAAUUAGCACUAGCCCCAUAACAGAAAACAAACAACAUAGGAGGGAAGAGAAGAUGAAAUGGGAAGGGAUUUAUAUAAUAUACCCUCCCACAGGGCUAUUUCUCCUAUAGUUGUUCAGGAUGUAUGAAUUGGCUUGGCUGGACAGUUAUUCUAGCCUGAACCUUCACCCAAAACUCAGACUAAACCUCUGCCUAACUUCAAAGAAACUUCAGUUAAUUUUCUAUUUCCACUGUUGGAUGGAAGCACCGAAUGCCAGACACAGCUAUUCUCAUGGCUAUUCCAGCCCAAUGCAGGCAGGAAGUAACCAGCUUCUCUUCAUCACAGAGCGUGCUCUGAUGAUACCUCCAACCCAGUUCUGGGAGUCCCUUGUGGUUCUGUUAAGUAUCCAAAUGUAUGGAUGGGUGCCUCUGUGGACUGAA